CGAGAAUUUUUCUCAAUGGGCGAAAGCCUGAAGGAGCGACGCCGCGUGUGGGAUGAAGGGUUUCGAUCCGUAAACCACUGUCAUUUGUGAACAAUGGUUAUUCGUGAAUAACGAGUGACUUGAUAGUAAUGAAAGAGGAAGGGACGGCUAACUAUGUGCCAGCAGCCGCGGUAAUACAGAGGUCCCGAGCGUUGUUCGGAUUCACUGGGCGUAAAGGGUGGGUAGGUGGCAUGGUAAGUUUGAUGUGAAAGCUCAGGGCUUAACCCUGAAAUGGCAUUGAAUACUACUGUGCUGGAGGUUUGGAGGGGGGACUGGAAUUCUUGGUGUAGCAGUGAAAUGCGUAGAUAUCAAGAGGAACACCAGUGGCGAAGGCGAGUCCCUGGACAACACCUGACACUGAGGCACGAAAGCUAGGGGAGCAAAC
rnacentral:rRNA from 1 species